AAAGUCGUAACAAGGUAACCGUAGGUGAACCUGCGGUUGGAUCAUUAAAAAUUCAGAGUUUUUGAAACUCGCAUCAGAUCAUUUUCGAAUGACUCUGGUAAACCCCUGUGAAUUGUUUGCAUCGCAAGAUGUCUCAACUUUUAUACUGACUGAAUCAAUGAGAUUAAAUUAUUAAAACAACUUUUAACAACGGAUCUCUUGGCUCUC
rnacentral:misc_RNA from 1 species